UUCCUAUACUGGUAGGACAUAUACUAAAAUAGGAAUGAUGCAGUAUAACCCCUACUCAAGGAUGACAUGCAAGUUUGUGAGGCAUGUUGUAUUUGC
rnacentral:snRNA from 1 species